rnacentral:misc_RNA from 1 species
GUAGGUGAACCUGCGGAAGGAUCAUUAGUGAAUUGAAUAUGUUAGCGGACCUCUUCGGAGUCCCUAGCAUCAAAUCAUAUCCAUAACACCUGUGAACCGUAAGGCUGUCUUGAAAACGAAAGUGAUUAGAGCGCCUGCCCAUUUUAUACAAACAUUAAAGUAACAAACGUAGUCUUAUUAUAAUCUAAUAAAACUUUCAACAACGGAUCUCUUGGCUCUC